GACGAACGCUGGCGGCGUGCUUAACACAUGCAAGUCGAACGGAAAGGCCCUGCUUUUGUGUUUUGCUCGAGUUGCGAACGGGUGAGUAACACGUGAGUAACCUGCCUUUGACUUUGGUAUAACUUCAGGUAACUGGGGCUAAUACCUGAUAGGAGCUCCUGCUGCAUGGUGGGGUUUGCAAAGUUUCGGCGGUUGGGGAUGGACUCGCGGCUUAUCAGCUUGUUGGUGGGGUAGUGGCUUACCAAGGCUUUGACGGGUAGCCGGCCUGAGAGGGUGACAGGCCACAUUGGGACUGAGAUACGGCCCAGACGCAUACGGGAGGAAGCAGUGGGGAAUAGUGCACAAUGGGCGGAAGCCGGAAGCAGCAACGCCGCGUGCGGGAUGACGGCCUUCGGGUUGUAAACCGCUUUCGCCGGUGACGAAGCGUGAGUGACGGUAAUGGGUAAAGAAGCAACGGCUAACUACGUG
rnacentral:rRNA from 1 species